rnacentral:tRNA from 1 species
GCUCGGGUAGCCUAGCACGGACAAGGCAGCAGAUUUCUAAUCUGCAGAUCGUGGGUUCGAAUCCCACCCCGAGCG